ACUCAAUAGAUACCCGGGUAGUCCACGCCCUAAACGAUGUCUACUAGUUGUUGGUGGAGUAAAAUCCAUGAGUAAACGCAGCUAAACGCGUGAAGUAGACCGCCUGGGGAGUACGGUCGCAAGAUUAAAACUCAAAGGAAUUGACGGGGCCCGGCACAAGCGGUGGAUUAUGUGGAUUAAAUUCGAUGCAACGCGAAAAACCUUAACCUGGCCUUGACAUGCCACUAACGAAGCAGAGAUGCAUUAGGUUGCCCGUAACGGGAAAGUGGACACAGGUGCUGCAUGGCUGUCGUCAGCUCGUGUCGUGAGAUGUUGGGUUAAAGUCCCGCAACGAGCGCAACCCUUGCCAUUAAUUGCCACCA
rnacentral:rRNA from 1 species